CACAAACACACAAACACUCCCUCACACUCUCCUACCGGUGCCACUUCAUGCUAUCAUCUCCACCAUCAUUUUUCCGGCAAUGUCACCGGAAAAGCCUUAGGAACCUCUAAGCAUCUUCAUCCCUUUUAUUUGAGGUUUUAACUAAUCUCUUUUGGAGCUUGGAGAAUUAGGCUUUUUGCGGGUUGCAAGUCUUUGUGACAAUGGAAUCAGAUCUAGGUCAAUGCCCUUUUACUUUGGAUGACGGGUUCUUCCCUGCUUUCCAUGGGACGAAAAGGUUCCUUGAUUGUGUAUGGGUGAUGCUGCUGCCCAUGGAGCCAAAAGACCACAUGCAAAAGAGGUCCUAUUUGACGCGUUCUCCCUGCUGCCCAUGGGGUAAGAGACAAAACCUUAAGGGUAUGAGUGAGGCUAUUGCCUAUAGGGUCAAGAGACUACAUACUAGGGAGGACAAUAUCAUGCCAGUUGUGAAUGGGUGGAUCCUCUGAUCGGUCUAUGUGGUAGUGUGGUAUAUUUGUGAUAAAUUACCAUAUGUUAGAUUUUAUGGCUUUGGAAUUAUAUUGUUAGUGCUCACAAAUUAUAGUAUAUAAUUUCAAGGUAUUUACUUUAAGAAACUUUAUGUUCCAUUAUUUAAUCAUUCUUGUCAUACUA